ACCACUUCUCAGCCUUUUGGCUAAGAUUGAGUGUAGUAUCUGUUAUUAGUUUAAUAUCUGAUACGUCCUCUAUCCGAGGAAAAUAUUUUACAUGGAUUUUUGGAACUAGGAGAUGGAAUAGAAGCUUGCUCCCUCCAUUCCACACAUCUACCUGGUAUUACAGUACUUCCAUGAUCGGUGCACCAAAA